CUUCACCACCCCUGUAUCCUCCUGGAUCACUCUGCCUUCCUCCUUCACCACCUUCUUAUCCCCUGAGCUUGUCACAAUAGCUCUCCAAGAUAUUGAAUAUUCUUGGGAUACUCAGACUACCAUAGUCUUGUUGUUCUGCCUCAUGAAUGCACUUCAGAUUCUGCUUAAAGUUAAACAACUACUUAGGAAGCUCAUCCGGAGAUCUGCCCGGAGGCAGUAUAGUUGUGGGUGGCAGGGAGUAUGGGUGGAUAUGGGCAGGCAUCUAGAACAGUUGGCACCCCCAGUGUUUUGGAAAUUCACCCCUGAACAAUGGCAAAAUCCUCAAAAACUGGCAGAAUGCUUGAAAAAAAGGUGUCAUGAUUCUGGCAGUUCCAAAGUAACACAAAUCUUUGUAACGUGCUGGGGCCUGGCUCAUGCCUAUCGAGCUGCCAUUGAUACUGCUAUUAACUUAGUGACAGACCCUGCGGCCACUCCAAGCCCUGUGACAGAUCCAACGGCCACUGUGACCCCUACAGUGGACUCUGCAGCCGCUCCAGCUCCGGUUCCUGCAGCUGCUCCAGCUCCGGUUCCUGCAGUCGCUCCAGUUCCAGCUCCUGAAGCCGCUCCAGCUCCAGCUCCUGCCGCUACUCCAGUCCCAGCUCCUGCAACUGCUCCAGCUCCAGCUCCUGCAGCCGCUCCAGCUCCAGCUCCUGAAGCUGCUCCAGAUCCAGCUCUUGCCGCUGCUCCAGUGCCAGUUCCUGCAGCUGCUCCAGCCCCAGCUCCUGCAGCCGCUCCAGCUCCUGUGGCCGUGUCAGAGAAACGAGCUGUAGCAGUGCAAGUUGACCCUGCAGAGGGUAUUCCAACCUCUGUGGCAGACCCUGUAACAAAGUCAGAGAAACAAGCAGUAGCAGUGCAAGCUGCCCCUGUAGAGAAGGUGAAAAAAUGGUAUAGAGAUUCAGGUCAUUUAGAACGCAGAGAGUCUUCUGCCAAAUCUAGGUAUAGAGAUGACGGAGAUGACGACGACGCUGGGCCAUCAAGGAUUCAGGAGGAGGAAGAUGAGGAUGCCGAAAAAUCAACAGUAACUACCCGAAGCCUAAACGAGCGUGAGCUACGAGAUGUGCGAAAAGAUUUUGGUUGCUGUAUAGGUGAGCAGCUUGUCACCUGGCUGCUCCGGUGCUGGGACUCUGGAGCCAAUUGUGUGGAAUUAGACGGCAGGGAAGCCAAGCGGCUGGGAUCCCUUGCUCGAGACGCCGGCAUUGACAAAGCAAUUGGAAAUGGAGCACAAUCCACCAGCCUCUGGAGGCGUCUCCUCUCAGCUGUGAGGGAAAGGUAU
rnacentral:lncRNA from 1 species